UUUUCUCAAGACUUCAGCUGCUUUGUUGGCAGCCAGGCCUGGCUCUCAGCAGCUCUGCAGGCUGGAAGGGCCCAAGAGACCCUUCACCCACCCGGUGUCUCCAGCAGCGGGGAGGGCUCCGGGGCACAGCCCAUUGCUGCUCUUCUCUCCUCCCUUCUUGGGUGUCCUGCAGGUUUCUGUGAGCAAAGCAGACAGAGAGGAGAUGCCCAGUGACGUCAGCUGUCCCCCGCAGAGCUUCCUGGAGCCUGGGCUCCAGGCUGAGGGGCCUUGGACAGAUGUCAUCUCCCUGGCUUCAGCAGAAUCGCCCACAAACCCACCCUGUGCCCACCCUCCCAUCGCAGAGAGCAGCUGCUGGAGAACGCGGCAUGAGACUUUGGAGACCUCGAGGAGCAGGAGACACAGGAGGCAAUGGCCAGGAUGGUCACGGUGGCACGGCUAUGCCAUCACUGAUUUCUGCCCACCCGCCCCCUAAGUCUCACUUGCUGCUACUCUCAAUUUCCUACUGAAUGCUUCGGAGAACACCCGUCCUGAGAUGAGAGGUGGGAUGUUCACUCUCUGGGAGUUAAGAUGGAACCCAGGCAGUUAGAAAAAAGUGCCACCGCCACGUGCCGGGCCUACUACUUGCCAGGAGCUUAGUGAGUCAUCCAAUUCCUAAAACAACUGUGCUGCAUAUGCUCCACCACGCCUGGACAACUCAGGGAAACAGGGCUGCGGGAGGCUCAGUGACCUGCCCUGGGUGACACGGAUGGCGUGGAUGCCCUGUCCGUGCACGGGGCUGUGCUAGCAGAGGACAGAAUCAUCCCCGGAAGCUGAUCCUGCGUCCACUGCUCACGGUGGCAGCUGCUUGGGCUGACAACGCCCCCCACUCCCUCCUGCUGGUGAGUCUGUGGAUGCAUUCAGGCACAUGGCAGCAAGGUCUCCUGUGUCCCAGAGGCGACCAGGACCCACAAGCGAGCAGCAGGCACCCCCCUCCCUCAUGCUAAUGCUCAUCAUGGGACGAAACCCAAGGUGGUAUCGGAGCCAGGGGCUGUGGCCAUGACAGCCACCCACUCCAGACGAUAUCCACAUUCGGAAUAGUUCAGAGUGGCCUGCCUUGAUGACAUCACAAAGUUCUCCAUGGAAAUGUGUCACAGAACCAGAACUUAAGGGCAUUUGGAUGAGGUUGAGGUGAGAUCAGGUCACAGAAGAACGUUCUCAAGUUAGGUGGUAAACAGCUGGAGACUCCAGGGUGUCCUCAGGACCUUUAUCUAAGCAAACACAUGAUAAGGUCUUUCCCAAGAAAUAAGCGUGGCUUUUUGUCCUGGCUGAGGAGGGUUGUCAUAGAUCUUUUCCCCUUUUUACCUUGGCUUCCAGGAAGCUCAGUGCCAAGUUUUGUGCUCCACCCUAGACCUACUUUCCUUGGACUGGACCUCAGGUGUAGCCCUUGGUCUCUGCUUUCUUUAUCGCAUGAGCCCACUUGGUUUCUGUACAUUUUGUCCACUGGUGCUGAUGGCUGGACGCCCUUUCCUGAAGGAGAUGGGGCAUAGCGUGAGUGGACGAUGACGGGCUGUGACAGGGCCCUCUGCCAAGGAUGUGGGCUACGAGGUGUGGGCUGGGAAGGAAGAGGAGGACCCUGCACCUCAGGGGGCAACCAGGAGCACAUUCCGGGGAGCACACACCUGCGGUGUUAUCACAGCCCCUGCCCAUGACCUGGACACUGGAAUAAACAGGAUGUGG